GCAAGAUGAGGAGGACCAGCCUAUGACCUGCUCUGAGGCCUGUUGGGACAGCCAUGCCUGGGGGGUGAGGGGGUGCUCAGUGCUAGCAGGCAGCUGUCCUGCAGCCCAGGGUCCACUUUUAGGUAUUUUUGUCUUUCAAAUCACUUGGAAAAACAGUGUUGUGUCUGAAGGGAGCACUUCAGACUCUUCAGAACAGGAUCUUUGCCUUUUGUACAGACCAAGCCCAGUCACCCUCAUCAAAGGCUGUGCAAGAACCUCCUCAGCCCAAGGAGAAUGAAGUUACUGAAUGGAAGAUCUGCAAGUUGGAGGGAGAAACAUGCUCUUGUAGAAGAGCUGUUGGAGGAGGAGAUACUAAGAUAAUGAAGAAAGUCAGAGCAAGAGAAGUGGAAACUGUUUCUAUUUAAGCUAAGUAGUAAAACUGCACCACAAAGCACAAAACACAUCAAAGGACACAUUGGAUUAGGGGGAAAAAAGGUUGACGUUUUAUUAUAUAGCAUUGAAUCAAGUAACCAAGAAACUGUCUUCAGUUACUCAUCCCUCAAAGGAGAGUUUGUGUGGUUUGAACAGGUCAAAACGUCUCAGGAGUUCAUGAAACAAGAUAAAUACCUUUUAGUGGAUCAUUGCUAGGCCAUAUUCUGCUUCCUUUGCAAUGGCCAGGAACUCAGAUCCCUGAGUUGUCCCACUCUUUCAGUAGAGCCCAGAGGACUGCUUAGAAGUAAAAUACCACUCAGUGCCAGUAAAGCUGGUGGAACGGGGCCUGCUGUCAGCACCACUGCAUUGUCAGACCAGUCAGUAUUGCUGGUGACUGUAUUACACAGAGCAACUAGCUAGUAAGUACCCAUUGGACUGCUUUGGACUGGAGAAAUGUCCUCCUUUCCCUGCCCAGCCUCAAAAUAAUAAGCAAAUUCUGUGCUGGUAUCCAAAGGACAAAAUUCCUUUCCUGGGAUUCUGCUUUCCAGCAGGGAAUUUGCCAGCACCAUUGUUUAGUGGGGUGGUGAAUAUUGAAGGAGGGAUCCUGUGAGUG
rnacentral:lncRNA from 14 species